CCCUGCGGUCACGUGCGCCUUCCCAGAUGGGGUCUGUGUCUCCCAGGAAGUGACCACCAUUGUGGAGUCUCAGGAAGUGAGAGUGGAGAACAAGCUCUGCCUUCCCAUCUGCCCGGAGGAAGACUCUGUAACUCCGAAAUUGUACCCGAUGAGCGCCAAGAUAUCUUGCUGCAAGGGAGACCUCUGCAAUUCGGGCGUCCUGGUGGUGGGCAGCACCUGGACCCUGUCUGUGGGGGUCCUGCUCAGCCUGGGGUCGGUCCUCUGGGCCCUGCUAUGAGGGCCUUCCCCAUCCCCUCCCCCCAUGGCCCCUCUUCUGUCCCAGAGCAUGGCGGCUCCUCAGCCUGGGACCGCUUUAGCGCUUAGUUACAUGGAUUCAGGGCUGGGUUUUCAGCCACAACCUUAGGGGAAGGAAGUGGUCAGGGCAGAGGUGGGGGCUUCCCUGUCAGGGGGCUCUGGCACCAGGUGGGUUCCUAGGGUGCAGAGUUAACAACCCCUGUGUGGACUAGCCCAUCCUCUGGCCUGGGGCCUCCAGCCUGCACUUGCUGCAACGCUGCUGCAUUUAAUCCACCUGGCCUCAGAGCUAGGGGCCCUGUCGCUGACCCUGGGGCCACAGGAAGACCACAGGCCACAGCAGGAGUCCAAGGCUCCGCCCUACUUUGCCACUCACUCACUGAGGAGCCACAGCCCUGCCUCUGUCCAAGCAAGGGAGGAACCGGGUCUCUGGGGGCCCUGCAGGCCUCCCACACACGGCCCCUCUCAAGGUCAAUAAACAUCCCUGUGCUCACUCA